GCAAAGUGAGGGAAGUUUAAAACAUGGGCGGGUGGAGGGAGGAGCAGAACAGCGCGGGACGCUUCCCCGCCGCUUCCGAGGGUUAAUUACGCGUUACAUAAUAGCAUCUGGAAAAUGAAGAAACUAACCCGAACGAAACGAGUGCGUGUAUUCAAAUAUGGACAUCGCUUCCUUCUCGCCGGCCAGAUGUUAUUUAUCCAAUCGCAACGGUCCACCCCCGCUCCGUCUUGUCUCUCCCAGUCCACACCCAACCGCGCGCCCC
rnacentral:lncRNA from 1 species